UACGAAGGGGGCUAGCGUUGUUCGGAAUUACUGGGCGUAAAGCGCACGUAGGCGGGUCGUUAAGUCAGGGGGGAAAUCCCAGAGCUCAACUCUGGAACUGCCUUUGAUACUGGCGACCUAGAGUCCGGAAGAGGUUAGUGGAAUUCCCAGUGUAGAGGUGAAAUUCGUAGAUAUUGGGAAGAACACCAGUGGCGAAGGCGGCUAACUGGUCCGGUACUGACGCUGAGGUGCGAAAGCGUGGGGAUCAAACAGG
rnacentral:rRNA from 1 species